CUUGACACUGAACAUUGAGCCUUGAUGUGUAGGAUAGGUGGGAGGCUUUGAAGUGUGGACGCCAGUCUGCAUGGAGCCGACCUUGAAAUACCACCCUUUAAUGUUUGAUGUUCUAACGUGGACCCGUAAUCCGGGUUGCGGACAGUGUCUGGUGGGUAGUUUGACUGGGGCGGUCUCCUCCUAAAGAGUAACGGAGGAGCACGAAGGUUGGCUAAUCCUGGUCGGACAUCAGGAGGUUAGUGCAAUGGCAUAAGCCA
rnacentral:rRNA from 9 species